rnacentral:snRNA from 1 species
GAAUGUGAGGGCAAUCUGGCUGCCACAUCUGUCACCCCGCUGAUUGCCAGGGUUGAUUUGGCUGAUCUAGGCGGGUGUCCCCUUCCUCCCUCGCGGCUCCAUGUGUGUACCUCCCAAAGCUGUGCACUUGGUCGAAGAGGACGACCUUCCCCAAAUACAGGAGGCUCAACGGUGUACCAGUAGCUGUGCUCCCCUGCUAGAACCUCCAAACAGGCUCUCAAGGAGGGGUGAAAGGGUCGCCAAGGAUGUCAAAGCCUGGAUACACUUUGGAUAUACAGCCUAGGUGUUAAGAGCUUGACCAACUAGUUCUU